GGCGAACGGGUGAGUAACACGUGGGUGACCUGCCCUUCACUCUGGGAUAAGCCUGGGAAACUGGGCCUAAUACCGGAUAUUCACUGAUCCUCGCAUGGGGGUGGGUGGAAAGUUUUUUCGGUGGGGGAUGGGCCCGCGGCUAUCAGCUUGUUGGUGGGGUGAUGGCCUACCAAGGCGACGACGGGUAGCCGGCCUGAGAGGGCGACCGGCCACACUGGGACUGAGACACGGCCCAGACUCCUACGGGAGGCAGCAGUGGGGAAUAUUGCGCAAUGGGCGGAAGCCUGACGCAGCGACGCCGCGUGGGGGAUGACGGCCUUCGGGUUGUAAACCUCUUUCGACCUCGACGAAGCUUUCGGGUGACGGUAGGGGUAGAAGAAGCACCGGCCAACUACGUGCCAGCCGCCGCGG
rnacentral:rRNA from 1 species